GAUGAACGCUAGCUACAGGCUUAACACAUGCAAGUCGAGGGGAAACGGCAUUGAGUGCUUGCACUCUUUGGACGUCGACCGGCGCACGGGUGAGUAACGCGUAUCCAACCUUCCCAUUACUGUGGGAUAACCUGCCGAAAGGCAGACUAAUACCGCAUAGUCUUCGAUGACGGCAUCAGAUUUGAAGUAAAGAUUUAUCGGUAAUGGAUGGGGAUGCGUCUGAUUAGCUUGUUGGCGGGGUAACGGCCCACCAAGGCGACGAUCAGUAGGGGUUCUGAGAGGAAGGUCCCCCACAUUGGAACUGAGACACGGUCCAAACUCCUACGGGAGGCAGCAGUGAGGAAUAUUGGUCAAUGGACGGAAGUCUGAACCAGCCAAGUAGCGUGCAGGAUGACGGCCCUAUGGUUGUGAACUGCUUUUGUAUGGGGAUAAAGUUAGGGACGUGUCCCUAUUUGCAGGUACCAUACGAAUAAGG
rnacentral:rRNA from 1 species